rnacentral:rRNA from 1 species
ACGAACGCUGGCGGCGUGCUUAACACAUGCAAGUCGAGCGGUAAGGCCCUUUCGGGGGUACACGAGCGGCGAACGGGUGAGUAACACGUGAGCAAUCUGCCCUUGACUUUGGAAUAACCAUUGGAAACGAUGGCUAAUGCCGAAUAUGACCCCCUUUCGCAUGUUGGGGGGUGGAAAGCUCCGGCGGUCAAGGAUGAGCUCGCGGCCUAUCAGCUUGUUGGUGAGGUAAUGGCUCACCAAGGCAUUGACGGGUAGCCG